rnacentral:rRNA from 1 species
UACGUAGGGCGCAAGCGUUUGUCCGGAAUUAUUGGGCGUAAAGAGCUCGUAGGCGGUCUGUCGCGUCGGCUGUGAAAACCCGGGGCUCAACCCCGGGCCUGCAGUCGAUACGGGCAGACUAGAGUGCGGUAGGGGAGACUGGAAUUCCUGGUGUAGCGGUGAAAUGCGCAGAUAUCAGGAGGAACACCGGUGGCGAAGGCGGGUCUCUGGGCCGUAACUGACGCUGAGGAGCGAAAGCGUGGGGGAGCGAACAGG